rnacentral:rRNA from 1 species
AACGAACGCUGGCGGCAUGCCUAACACAUGCAAGUCGAACGAGACCUUCCGGUCUAGUGGCGCACGGGUGCGUAACGCGUGGGAACCUGCCCUUAGGUUCGGAAUAACUCCCCGAAAGGGAUGCUAAUACCGGAUAAUGUCUUCGGACCAAAGAUUUAUCGCCUUUGGAUGGGCCCGCGUUGGAUUAGCUAGUUGGUAGGGUAAAAGCCUACCAAGGCGACGAUCCAUAGCUGGUCUGAGAGGAUGAUCAGCCACACUGGGACUGAGACACGGCCCAGACUCCUACGGGAGGCAGCAGUGGGGAAUAUUAGACGAUGGGCGAAAGCCUGAUCAAGCAAUGCCGCGUGAGUGAUGAAGGCCUUAGGGUUGUAAAGCUCUUUUACCCGGGAUGAUAAUGACAGUACCGGGAGAAUAAGCACCGGCUAACUCCGUG